UUUAAUUUUACAAUUUUAUUAUGUUAAUGGAGGUAAUUUUACAACAACAAAUUAAUAUAAUGCAAGUAAAACUAUGAAUCAUAAUAUAAUGCAGGUAAAUUUGGUUAUCGUAGAUUUUUUUCAAAUCAAUAGAAUUGACCACUGAAAAAAUAUUAAAAGAAAUCUAAUACAAUUUUAGUAUUUUAGAUGAUAAAAAUAAAAGAGAAAAUUGCCAAAACAGAACAAAAAUUUAGGAUAGUUGUUCCUUUGAUAUAAAUCAAUUUUAUCCAUUUUGUCUCCUUUUUAUCCUUUCCAUUCCUGAAACUUAUUGAAAUAAUCAGUAUUAUGAAUCAAAACAAUUAUUGAAAAUAUAAACAAUUAACAAAACACCGAUA
rnacentral:lncRNA from 1 species